AUUGAACGCUGGCGGCAGGCCUAACACAUGCAAGUCGAGCGGAUGAAGGGAGCUUGCUCCUGGAUUCAGCGGCGGACGGGUGAGUAAUGCCUAGGAAUCUGCCUGGUAGUGGGGGAUAACGUCCGGAAACGGGCGCUAAUACCGCAUACGUCCUGAGGGAGAAAGUGGGGGAUCUUCGGACCUCACGCUAUCAGAUGAGCCUAGGUCGGAUUAGCUAGUUGGUGGGGUAAAGGCCUACCAAGGCGACGAUCCGUAACUGGUCUGAGAGGAUGAUCAGUCACACUGGAACUGAGACACGGUCCAGACUCCUACGGGAGGCAGCAGUGGGGAAUAUUGGACAAUGGGCGAAAGCCUGAUCCAGCCAUGCCGCGUGUGUGAAGAAGGUCUUCGGAUUGUAUAGCACUUUAAGUUGGGAGGAAGGGCAGUAAGUUAAUACCUUGCUGUCUUGACGUUACCAACAGAAUAAGCACCGGCUAACUUCGUG
rnacentral:rRNA from 1 species